UUUUAAUUACUUAAUCAUUGUUUAUGGACAUGUUUAAUAAUCGAUUAUGCGGUGGGCAAACGUCUUAAUGCAAAUGGAUGGAUAGAACAGAUAUAUUGGAUUGGACAAAGAUAUAUUGUGAAAUACUUACAACCCACUUGAUAAAUAGAAGUUCGAGCCAAUUGAGUGGAUACACCACAGAUUGAAAUGUAAUGUUCUAAUAUCUAUGGGAUACACAACAUGUCAAAGAAGAUUUAAUAAAAGAGGUUCUUAAUGGCAUCACUUUUAUUCAUAUUUCUAAAGUCUACAGAUUUCUGUUCUACACUUGCAUUGUCUACUACUGCAAUAAACCAUUUCAUGUAAUAAUUUACUUCAUUUAUUUCAACACAAUUAUAUCUAUUAGUUCACUACUAAGAAACGUUACUCCAUUUAACAAGCCAGUUUAGUAUUAGUAACAGAAAUUAAGAAAAUUUGAAGAAAAUAUAUAACUUUAGGAGGAAAAAGAACAUUUAAUUGUGAUACUACUUUUAAUUUCUAUGAAUAAA